rnacentral:rRNA from 1 species
GAUGAACGCUGGCGGCGUGCCUAAUACAUGCAAGUCGAGCGAACGGACGAGAAGCUUGCUUCUCUGAUGUUAGCGGCGGACGGGUGAGUAACACGUGGAUAACCUACCUAUAAGACUGGGAUAACUUCGGGAAACCGGAGCUAAUACCGGAUAAUAUUUUGAACCGCAUGGUUCAAAAGUGAAAGACGGUCUUGCUGUCACUUAUAGAUGGAUCCGCGCUGCAUUAGCUAGUUGGUAAGGUAACGGCUUACCAAGGCAACGAUGCAUAGCCGACCUGAGAGGGGGACCGGCCCACUGGGAACUGGGAACGGGCCCGGCUCCCUCGGGGGGGCCGCGUGUGGGAUCUCUCCGAAAGGGGGGAAGACCAAAAGGGGGAACCCGGGGGGGGGGAGAAAGGUUUGGGGAUUUAAAAACUCUUUUAUAGGGGAAGAAAAUAUUGGUAGGAAACUGGCCAACUCUGAAGGGUACCAAAAAAAAAAGCCCCGGUAAACUACGG